rnacentral:rRNA from 1 species
AAUCAACGCUGGCGGCGUGCCUCAGACAUGCAAGUCGAACGAUUAAAGCUCUCUUCGGAGAGUGCAUAGAGUGGCGCACGGGUGAGUAACACGUAAGUAAUCUACCCUCGAGUGGGGAAUAACAACCGGAAACGGUUGCUAAUACCGCAUAAUGCAGCGGCACCGCAAGGUGACAGUUGUUAAAGAUUUAUCGCUUGAGGAGGAGCUUGCGGCAGAUUAGCUAGUUGGUAGGGUAACGGCUUACCAAGGCUACGAUCUGUAACCGGUCUAAGAGGACGGUCGGUCACACUGACACUGAAUAACGGGUCAGACUCCUACGGAAGGCAGCAGUCGGGAAUUUUGGGCAAUGGGCGAAAGCCUGACCCAGCAACGCCGCGUGAAGGAUGAAGUAUUUCGGUAUGUAAACUUCGAAAGAAUAGGAAGAAUUAAUGACGGUACUAUUUAUAAGGUCCGGCUAACUACGUG